CUUGAGCGAGCCGAGCCAGAGCGGCGCCGCCUCCGGGCGGUCCUGGCCGUAGGUGGCCAGCAGCGCCUGGGCCUC
rnacentral:antisense_RNA from 1 species